CUAAAAAUUACAGUGGCGCUAAACUGGAAGGUGUUGUUAGAAGUGCUGUCUCAUAUGCCUUGAAUCGACAGAUAAGCUUCGAUGAUUUGACCAAGCCCUUGGAUGAGGAGAGCAUAAAAGUCACUAUGGAUGAUUUUUUGAAUGCUCUUCAUGAGGUUGGACCAGUUUUUGGUGCAUCAAUGGAUGAUCUUGAACGACGCAGGCUUAAUGGGAUUAUCGAUUGUGGUGAGAGGCACAAACACAUCCAUGAGAGAGCCCUGCUUCUUGUGGAGCAAAUCAAAGACAAUCAGAGCCCACUUGUUACAUACCUUCUGGAAGUGGCAAAACUUCAAUGGCAGCUACAAUUGGUAUA